AUUGAACGCUGGCGGCAGGCCUAACACAUGCAAGUCGAGCGGAGCGGCGGACGGGUGAGUAAUGCCUGGGAAUCUGCCUGGUCGUGGGGGAUAACGUCCGGAAACGGGCGCUAACACCGCAUACUAUCAGAUGAGCCUAGGGCGGAGUCGCCAGUUGGUGGGGGAAAGGCCUACCAAGGCGCAGAUCCGUAACUGGUCUGAGAGGAUGAUCAGUCACACUGGACCGGAAACACGGUCCAGACUCCUACGGGAGGCAGCAGUGGGGAAUAUUGGACAAUGGGCGAAAGCCUGAUCCAGCCAUGUCGCGUGUGUGAAGAAGGUCUUCGGAUUGUAAAGCACUUUAAGUUGGGAGGCGUUACCAACAGAAUAAGCACCGGCUAACUUCGUGCCAGCAGCCGCGGUAAUAC
rnacentral:rRNA from 1 species